AUGUAAGGAUGUUCAUUUAGAGAAUAAAUACUGUGACUCUAAAUGGCAUGUAAGGAUGCUCAUAGAAGAAUAAAUAAUUUCACUCUUAAUGGCAUGUAAGGAUGCUCAUAGAAGAAUAAAUAAUUUUACUCUUAAUGGCAUGUAAGGAUGGUCAUAAGAGAAAGAAAAACUUUUCAUAUAUUACGAGCAUGUGAUUGCAAAACUUAUGUAUUCAAAGCAUGUAUAUGUAAGUUAUUAUGAUGGAGUAUAUUUUGGUAUUUAAAGUAAUGUAUAGAGAAAUAAUAAUACUUAAUUAAGUUGUGUAUAUUUUAUGUGUUAUGGAUUGACCGAUAAGACAUAGGUUAAAUGCAUGUUUAUUGGGUCCAUAUAUAUAUGGUAGAUAAUGAGGUAAUGCAGUAAGUGGUGAAAGACAUGACGACUCAACACCCCGAGUGUUGGUAAGUUAAAUUUCGAGAACGAAAUUUCUUUUAAGGAGGGUAGAAUGUAAUAUCCAGAUUAAAAUAGUAUUUAAUUUUUUUUUUGGAUAUUAAUUGAGCGAGGAUAAUUAUCUUGUUUCUUUGUGUUGUUAGUGAGUUGAUAUUAUUGCUUAGAGUAGUUGUACCAAUUUUCUAGAGAGAGUUAAAGUUGUAUUAACUACGAAAGUAAAAUAUUAUGGUAUUUUUACAGAGUAAGUAAUCGUUUAAUUAAAGCCCAAUAUGAAGGUCCAUUAGGGUUUUAUAAUAUAUUUAGUGAGUUUAAUUAAUUAAUGUUAAAAAUUCGUAGGUUUGGAUAAAUUCGCAGGAUUAAAAACUGUUUUACUAAAAUGAUCAUAUCUGGAGUUCUAGAGCUCGGAUUGAGGUGAUUUCAGUGGCGUUGGAAAGAUAAUUUAAAGAUCUAUAAAUUUUGUAGAAAUAACUAUAUCAGAAUUCGUAAUUUUUCUAGGUCAAAACUAAGCCCUAAAGUUACGAGAUUGAGAGCUUACAAUUUAAAUUUAAAAGUUAGAUAUUUGUUUAUUUAAUAAUUUAUCAUAUUAUUAUUGUUAUUAUGUUAAUAUUAUUAUUAUUCAUAAAACUAAAGCUAAUAAGAUUCAGAAUAGUAUAGGUUUCAUUAACCCUAAAAUUAUAUCGUUCUAUUCUUCCCACCUAUUUGAGCAAGACUAACCCUAAAAAUUUUCAAGUCAUCUUUCCAUUACAUCCUUAGCCAAAUCUAUACCACUCUUCACUCUCAUCUUUGAUCACCAUCAUCUUAUGUCUAUCGAUCCAAGUAGCUUGAUGUAUUUGAGGUAAGAAACUCUACAUUAACUUAUUUAUUGAUCACAAUAGGAGAAUUUUCGUAGGUCUCCUUUUCUUAUUUUUCAGAAUGAAACAUGUCUCAGUAAAACUGUCAUAUCUCUUUAAAUACUCAUCUGAUUCUCGCAAUCUUGGUGUCUAUAGAAAGCUUAUUAAAUUUCCUAUAAUUCUUAUGAAGAAAGAUUUUACAGAAUCGAAAUUUAUCUAUGUCAAAAAUUAGUAUUUUUACGCUGUUUGUUGUAAAUCGUUUUUCAUAUUUUCUAUAUAAGUUGUUUCAGUAAAAUCCGAAUAUCUCUCUGAAUAAUGAUCCGAUUCUAGCGAUCUUGGUACUGUUGAAGAGAUAAUUCAAUUUUCCAAAUGUUUUAUGAAGAAACCAUUCACUAAUUAUUGAUUAUUCUAAGUCAAAAUUAUUGUUUUAUUGCUGUAGUUCGAAAUCCAUUUGUUUCAGGAUUUCUAGAAAACUGUUUCGGUAUAAUAUCUAUAUCUCUUACGUUAUAACUCCGAUUUUAAAGAUUUUAGUGUCAUUAGAAAGGGAAUUUGAUUUUCUAAAACUUUUAUGAAGAGAGUAUUCUCUGAUUUGGAAUAUUUCAGUAUCAAAACUUUGUAUUUUUGAUGUCUCCUGUGAUUCGUUACUCCAUAUUCCUUCUCAGAAAUAGUUUCAGUAAAACUAUCAUAACUCCCUCAGUUUUAAUCCAUUUUUAAUGAUCUAUAUAUCGUUGAAAAGAUAAUUAAAUUUCCUAUAAUUUUUAUGAAGGAAACUUUUACUGAAUUCGUGUAGUUAUUGGUCAAAAAUAGUAUUCUUUCUGCUGUACUGUAAGAGUGUGAAUUUUAAUGUUAGGGCCUUGACCCAUGUGUUAUUAUAGGUAGUAGUGACGAGAUAACAAGUUUAAGCAGCGGGAUUUGAGGUAUUAGACAGGGAAGUAUGUAUAGUGAGCAGGGUCAGUUCUGGUACGUAUACUGUGAGCGGCUACGGGCGGACAAACGAUCUAGAACGCCAGUGGUGCCUUAGUUUUAUUUUAAGCAGUUGAUAAAUCUAACACAGUGGAAAUGCAUUAUUUAAAAUUAUUUACUUACUGUAUCUUGUUUUACAAAUGAAGGAUCCUUCUCUGUUGCAUUUUGAUUUUUUUUAAAAUCCACUGUUGUAUUUAAAUUA